UGACAAAGCCUUAAUAUCCACCUCUAACUAUCACCCAGCAUCUUCCCAAAACAUAUUAGAUCAGAUCCCAGACGUACAGGUCUCUAAUAACCAAUUAGAAUAUACCAUAGAAACUGACGACAUGUCAAGACCUACAAAUAAUACAAAUGAAACAAACACUUUAAAAAUAACAACAUCAUCAACUUCCAACCAGAUCAGCAAUCUUACUCCAUUAGAAAUAACACAACCUAAAAUUAUUCCAAACGUCACAAAACAUC
rnacentral:lncRNA from 1 species